rnacentral:rRNA from 1 species
UGAGUAACCUGUCCUCGGCACCGGGAUAGCCCGGGGAAACCCGGAUUAAUACCGGAUGGCCUUUCGAGUCUUCGGGCUCGUCAGAAAAGAUAGCUUCGGCCUCCGGCCGAGGAGGGACUCGCAGCGGAUUAGCUUGUUGGUGGGGUAACGGCUCACCAAGGCGACGAUCCGUAGCUGGUCUGAGAGGACGAUCAGCCACACUGGGACUGAGACACGGCCCAGACUCCGUACGGGAGCAG